rnacentral:piRNA from 1 species
UGCCACAAUAUGGGUGACCUCAUG